GACGAACCCUUGCGGCGUGCUUAACACAUGCAAGUCGAACGGAAAGGCCCUGCUUUUGUGGGGUGCUCGAGUGGCGAACGGGUGAGUAACACGUGAGUAACCUGCCCUUGACUUUGGGAUAACUUCAGGAAACUGGGGCUAAUACCGGAUAGGAGCUCCUGCUGCAUGGUGGGGGUUGGAAAGUUUCGGCGGUUGGGGAUGGACUCGCGGCUUAUCAGCUUGUUGGUGGGGUAGUGGCUUACCAAGGCUUUGACGGGUAGCCGGCCUGAGAGGGUGACCGGCCACAUUGGGACUGAGAUACGGCCCAGACUCCUACGGGAGGCAGCAGUGGGGAAUAUUGCACAAUGGGCGGAAGCCUGAUGCAGCAACGCCGCGUGCGGGAUGACGGCCUUCGGGUUGUAAACCGCUUUCGCCUGUGACGAAGCGUGAGUGACGGUAAUGGGUAAAGAAGCACCGGCUAACUACGUGCCAGCAGCCGCGGUGAUACGUAGGGUGCGAGCGUUGUCCGGAUUUAUUGGGCGUAAAGGGCUCGUAGGUGGUUGAUCGCGUCGGAAGUGUAAUCUUGGGGCUUAACCCUGAGCGUGCUUUCGAUACGGGUUGACUUGAGGAAGGUAGGGGAGAAUGGAAUUCCUGGUGGAGCGGUGGAAUGCGCAGAUAUCAGGAGGAACACCAGUGGCGAAGGCGGUUCUCUGGGCCUUUCCUGACGCUGAGGAGCGAAAGCGUGGGGAGCGAACAGGCUUAGAUACCCUGGUAGUCCACGCUGUAAACGGUGGGUACUAGGUGUGGGGUCCAUUCCACGGGUUCCGUGCCGUAGCUAACGCUUUAAGUACCCCGCCUGGGGAGUACGGCCGCAAGGCUAAAACUCAAAGGAAUUGACGGGGCCCCGCACAAGCGGCGGAGCAUGCGGAUUAAUUCGAUGCAACGCGUAGAACCUUACCUGGGUUUGACAUGGAUCGGGAGUGCUCAGAGAUGGGUGUGCCUCUUUUGGGGUCGGUUCACAGGUGGUGCAUGGCUGUCGUCAGCUCGUGUCGUGAGAUGUUGGGUUAAGUCCCGCAACGAGCGCAACCCUUGUUCACUGUUGCCAACACGUUAUGGUGGGGACUCAGUGGAGACCGCCGGGGUCAACUCGGAGGAAGGUGGGGAUGACGUCAGGUCAUCAUGCCCCUUAUGUCCAGGGCUUCACGCAUGCUACAAUGGCUGGUACAGAGAGUGGCGAGCCUGUGAGGGUGAGCGAAUCUCGGAAAGCCGGUCUCAGUUCGGAUUGGGGUCUGCAACUCGACCUCAUGAAGUCGGAGUCGCUAGUAAUCGCAGAUCGGCAACGCUGCGGUGAAUACGUUCCCGGGGCU
rnacentral:rRNA from 1 species